rnacentral:rRNA from 1 species
UACGAAGGGGACUAGCGUUGUUCGGAAUCACUGGGCGUAAAGCGCACGUAGGCGGAUGUGUCAGUCAGGGGUGAAAUCCCGGGGCUCAACCUCGGAACUGCCUUUGAAACUAGACAGCUAGAAUCUUGGAGAGGUCAGUGGAAUUCCGAGUGUAGAGGUGAAAUUCGUAGAUAUUCGGAAGAACACCAGUGGCGAAGGCGACUGACUGGACAAGUAUUGACGCUGAGGCGCGAAAGCCAGGGGAGCAAACGGG